UUUUUAUUGCGUGAGCCGCAAGAUAUUUACCUGGCAGGAGGGCUACACUAAUAAAAGCUAAUCUGCACAUCUA